rnacentral:lncRNA from 1 species
UCACAAAGUCCCACCCCUGUGGUCAUCUCUGGGAGUUCUGACUGAGGAGUCUGGCAUUUCCACUUGGAGGGUCUCAGGAGGGGAGGACCAUCAUUUCAAGGAAAAAAACCCUAUUAACAGAGGGAGGAGUCUUUACCCUAAAAGGAGUAAAGGUUAAUGAACAGACCUUUCCUCUAAAUAGGCAGCCACAUGGGGCAGUGCUACUCUUUCAGAUCUGGGAGACCCCAGACAGAGUAGCCAGAUUUCAAGCACUCUGACUUAACCUGUAGUUACUCAGGAAGAAGAGGGCUUUAGCCUGAGAUUUGUGGGCUCAGGUCAGCAGAGGAAGGGGUCCUAAAACCUCCAAGGAAGUGGAGGAAUUACGGACUCCAGAACAGUGUAGUUUAGGAGUCCACCCCAGAUGCAGCUUACUGUUAACUUGGGUUCAAGGAGUAUGAGGACAUUUGUCGAUCUCUGGGAAACAGAGGAUAGAGUCCCCAAAAGGGUCCAGAGUCAAGAUAAAUAAAGAGUCUGAAUGAGGAAAUGGAGGUUACUCACUACACAAUAAAGAGAGCUGCACCUGAUACCACCCCUGGGAGACCCACAUCAGUGCUAGCAGGCUCAGGUGCCCCCUGACUUCUGCCUUCAUGGUCUUCGGCAGAUGAGGGCCUUGGUUUAAGGGAUAUCUGCCCUAAGUCCAGCAGAGAGAAAAGUCCCUCCUAGCCAUGACAGAUGUCAGAGUACAAAUCCUAUGUGAGGAUUUGUUCCAGAACAAGGGAAACACACAAGGUCUUUCUUCUGUGUGUUCAGCCCUGAGAUGCCAAGGUUAGAGUUCUCAGGCUAAGGUGUGCCCCCUCACUUCCUCCAAGGUUUUCUCAGGGACACAAGGACUUUGGUUUAAUGGGAGAGCCCACAUUCAGCAUAUGGUGGAGGCCCAGUUACCAACAGGAGUCAAGGUAGUGAUAUUGAGUAUGAAGGGGCUCCUCACAGAAAGUAGUGACACAUCUUAUCCUACCCUGCGACCUGGAAGGUCUGGGCAUGGUAUUCUUACUAGUCUCAUUCAUUUAUUCCUACAGAGUCUAAGACAGCUGAGGAACGUCAUCAAGGGGGCAACCUCAGGAGGAUUCCCAGGUGGUUCUAGGAGUCAAGGAGAGGACCCUGAGAACUUAGGAAACCACCCAUGCUAUAACUGUGUCUGCAUCACCUGCUUUCCUGCUCAUACGUCUGCCUGC